rnacentral:rRNA from 1 species
GACGAACGCUGGCGGCGUGCUUAACACAUGCAAGUCGAACGGAAAGGCCCUUCGGGGUACUCGAGUGGCGAACGGGUGAGUAACACGUUGGUGAUCUGCCCUGCACUUUGUGAUAAGCCUGGGAAACUGGGUCUAAUACCGAAUAGGACCACGCGCUUCAUGGUGUGUGGUGGAAAGCUUUUGCGGUGUGGGAUGGGCCCGCGGCCUAUCAGCUUGUUGGUGGGGUAAUGGCCUACCAAGGCGACGACGGGUAGCCGGCCUGAGAGGGUGACCGGCCACACUGGGACUGAGAUACGGACCAGACUCCUACGGGAGGCAGCAGUGGGGAAUAUUGCACAAUGGGCGCAAGCCUGAUGCAGCGACGCCGCGUGAGGGAUGACGGCCUUCGGGUUGUAAACCUCUUUCAAUAGGGACGAAGCGAAAGUGACGGUACCUAUAGAAGAAGCACCGGCCAACUACGUG